rnacentral:piRNA from 1 species
UGUGAUCUUGAACUGGAUGCCACACUGAGU